rnacentral:rRNA from 1 species
CAUGCAAGUCGAGCGGUAGCACAGAGAGCUUGCUCUCGGGUGACGAGCGGCGGACGGGUGAGUAAUGUCUGGGAAACUGCCUGAUGGAGGGGGAUAACUACUGGAAACGGUAGCUAAUACCGCAUAACGUCGCAAGACCAAAGUGGGGGACCUUCGGGCCUCAUGCCAUCAGAUGUGCCCAGAUGGGAUUAGCUAGUAGGUGGGGUAACGGCUCACCUAGGCGACGAUCCCUAGCUGGUAUGAGAGGAUGACCAG